CAGACCUUUCAGGUGAACAUCCAGACGAACCCAGGUUACUUUCUACACCUCUGGUUGGGGCAGCAUGUGUGUCAAAUAUAUCCAGUGUUACCUGGCUCUCUGGGAACAGACCAGGCAGCUUCUCCUUACUUCUACAGUUGUUUAGCAGGGAUUCAGCCAGGCCCUCCACAUGCAACUCUGGUUUUCUGUUUGGAACAAUUAAUAAUAAUGCUUACCUUAUUACUUACUUACUUACUGGGGCGCUGCUAAUGUGGCAGCCCAUUACUCCACCAUCUCUCUCCAUGUUUGCAUGUCCACAAGCCCUGCAUGCGUAUAAUUGUGCAUUUCAGCCUGUGUGUAUAAAAUAAAAAAGAUUUGAAAAUGUUUUAUAUAUACAUAUAUAAUCAUGAUAACAAUAAACAGGAAAAAAAAUCAACAUUAAUAUUCAUGGAAGACAAUUAGCCUAUGUUUUAUUAGUCUAUUUUUUAUGGGAGAUGGUGAGGGACCUGGAUAAUGGAUUUGGGGGCGGUGGCCCAAAAAAGGUUGAAAACCACUGGUUUAGGUCAUUUUCAAAUUUAGAUGUCAUAAUUUCAUGAUCUGUUCAAAAGUAUUUGAAACAUGUUUAAUGAUAUUGUAUAAUCAAACACUGUUUAAAUUUAUUAUUUUCUGCUAUAGUGCAAAAAUGUGACAAUUAACAGCUUCGAGAGGAGAGCUAUUGCUGCUCACCAUAAUUUCCCCACCACCUACAUCCAUCUUUAUUCCUAUCAUUUUUGCACAGUAAGAUAGUUAUGUGUAGGGUUCUGAAAGCUGCGUUCAUGUUUCUAUUCUAACUGUGGCAGCCUGAUGCAGCAUUUCCAGAGCCCGAGGCAGCCACUCCUCCGCGGCUCCGCGGCGCGUGGCAGACCGGUGUCGGCGUGAUCAGGUGAUGGUGAUGUUGGCAUGAUACUAGGAGAAAUCCAGCCAGCUGAGGCGUAUGGAAAAGACCGACAUCUGUCAGCGGAGAAGAGGAGCAGAGCCGCUGUCAAGCUCUCAGGUGCCAACAUACACCAACUGUCUCUUCAAUCUGCCAGACAGCAUGUUUGCGGUGAUGGAGAAGAACUCAUGUGACUUGUCAUUUCUGAAGUUUGCCCCCACUCCACCUGCUGAAUCUGCAUUCCUCCAAAUAAUAAUGUAUUCAACCUCUCUUUCACAUUACAUCUAGCUAUGGUUUUUGCACCACUACCUGUGGUUGCCAUUUGUCUUUGCACCUUCAGAUUUACUCAUACCCUGUACCCCAAACCCCACUUAAAGGGACACUCCAGUGAUUUAGUAUUGCACAUCCAUAAAGUAGUUGGACUUUUGAGAGACAUGAAAAAAUCCUGACUUUAAGAUCCAGUAUGGGUUAAGCUCCAAAAACAAUGGAUCCUACAUUCCCCACAAUGCAAUUUAAAUGCAUCAUUCAUUAGACUUUAAUUGUCUGGUAUACCCAUGUCUUUCAACUCCACACCUCCAGUUUGUGACACAGGCUUCCUGUUAUAAAUUUGCAGUCUCAUGUUGAGGUGUCUUUCUUCAGAUUUGACAAAGCUCCUCCAGAACCAAAAGAUAUUGUACAACUGUUUUCACAGGCCACUGAACUGACUUUCAUUUCUAAAAUAAAUGGAAUGCCCCUUUAAGAUCAAUGUCUGUUCAUAAAAAGAAUAAUAAUAAAAAAAAAUCUUAAUGUCUUCUUGUGUAUUCUAUAUAUUAGAAAUAUAUAACAUUGUAAAUUAUUCAGACCUUGAAAAAUACUUUUUACUGGAUGCAUAAACAGGCCAUCACUGUCCAUAGAUUUAUCCAAAAAUAAGCUCUAUCAUUUAGCAGCUUAUACAAAAACAUGCUUUUUGGCUAUUUAUAUAGCCAGAAACGACAAAUUUAGGCUUUUAUGUGUGCAAUAUAUGACACCCUCUAUCCUUGAUUUGGACAAGAAAAAACUCCACCUUAUCACAAACAAUUUGGAAAAUUCAAGAAGUGCAACAGUAGACAAAUGCUUCUUCCAUGACAGAUAGACAUACAAUAGAUGUUGUGUUCACAGAAUUGACCAAAUUAACAAGUAAUAGUAAAGAGGUCAAGUUACAAUGAAUGACAAUAGAAAUAGGAAAUAGGAAGAUAAAACGAAAAAAAAAAAAGUGGUGAUACAUAACAGGCAAGUCACACUAAAAUAAAAAUAAUUUAUUGGAGGUCAGAAAACGAGUUCUGAGACAGUUGGAAAUUCAACCAUAAAGAUUGAAAAUAACAUCAUAUCUGUGUGUCCCUGAGAUAAUCUUUUGUUUUGUUUGUUUCUGUCUAAUAUUUCACACUCCUGGACACACUCCACGACUGCUGAUGUCUUCUGAACUUCUGCCUCUGAUAUAUUGGUGAGUGACAUAUUUUAAUUAUUUUAAGAGAGGGAGAGAGAGAUGGACUGUUUUCUUAAUUAGGGCCCGAGUACUGACUGUGCAAAGGCCCUAUUGUAAUUAGUGACCGAGCCACAUUAUUAUUUUGGACCCAUAACCCAAACACAACAGGAAGUUGGCCAUUUUGAAUUCCAUGGUCAUUUUUGGCAAUUUGCACACGUUGUAUUUGAACGAACUCCUCCCAGGGAAUUCAUCAGAUCAACCUCAAAUUUAAUCAGCACAAUUUAAAGACAUUAAUGUUUAAAAGUUGUGCUUUUUAGGACAUUGCGUCAAACGGCGUGCCCGGGGUGUGUUGUCAAAUUCCGAUCAUUCGCCAUGAAAAAGGAAGUUGUCAUAACUUCUGUGUACAUGAUCCGAUCUCAAUGAAACUUCACAUGUUUGAUGAGAGUCCCGUAUGUGAUACUAUUCAGUAAUAGUGAGGGCGCCACCUAGUGGUGAAAGGAAGUAUACUUUCAUGUUCUACUCCUAGCAGGAUGAUUAGAUCUAGCUGAAAUUUAGUCAGGAAAUGCAAAACAUGUUGUUGAUGAUAUUUCAUGAUUGUGGUGAGUUAUUGUCAAAGGGCGUGUACCGCCAGAACACACAAAGUUGCUAUAAUUUGAGUGUACAUUGU
rnacentral:lncRNA from 15 species